UAGAGUUUGAUCCUGGCUCAGAACGAACGCUGGCGGCGUGCCUAACACAUGCAAGUCGAGCGGUUCAUGGGUUUCGGCCCAUGGGUAGCGGCAGACGGGUGAGUAACACGUGGGUAACCUGUCCCUAGGUGGGGGAUAACCACUCGAAAGGGUGGCUAAUACCGCAUAAGACCCCGGGUUUUUGGAUCUGAGGUCAAAGGCGCAAGUCGCCGAGGGAGGGGCCCGCGGCCGAUUAGCUAGUUGGUAGGGUAACGGCCUACCAAGGCAGUGAUCGGUAGCUGGUCUGAGAGGAUGAUCAGCCACACUGGUACUGAGACACGGACCAGACUCCUACGGGAGGCAGCAGUGGGGAAUAUUGCGCAAUGGGCGAAGGCCUGACGCAGCAACGCCGCGUGGGUGAUGAAGGCCUUCGGGUCGUAAAGCCCUGUCAGAUGGGACGAAGCAAGUGACGGUACCAUCGAAGGAAGCACCGGCUAACUCCGUGCCAGCAGCCGCGGUAAUACGGAGGGUGCAAGCGUUGUUCGGAAUCACUGGGCGUAAAGGGCGCGUAGGCGGCUCCAAAAGUCUGAUGUGAAAGCCCGGGGCUCAACCCGGAAGUGCAUUGGAAACUGUGGAGCUUGAGUUCGGGAGAGAAGGCAAAUCCGGUGUAGGUUGAA
rnacentral:rRNA from 1 species